ensembl:lncRNA
GUGUGGGACAGGUGUUCAUUGGUCACUCUGAGCCCAUCACACAAGUGAUCUUUACACCUGACCAGAUGGGUGUGGUUUCAGUGGGUGAUGCUGUCUUCUUCUGGGACUUUUUGGCCCACCCACAGGAAAUGUCAGGCUGCAGGUAAAAUCUGUCCAAAUUUAGGGUACAAAAAAAGAAAAAAAAUGCACACGCGUGUCUGUGAACUUGUUCUUUCCAUUCUCUUUGUUAUUUAAAAAAAAACAACCAAAAAUCUCAGGUCCCCAACUGCUGUCCUCUCUCCUCCUAGACCAUGUAAGGGUCGGAUGGACUCUCUUCCUGAGACAGGUGAAGAGGGGGUGGGAAUUUUUAAUUUAAAUAAGCCAAUCCAUGUUCAGAAUUAAACAGUAAACUACAAUUGAAUUAACCUCUGAUAUCUUCAGGCCCAAGGCAGUCCAAGUGUCAACAGUCCAAGACAGAGUUUAAUGGAAUUUUAUCCAAUGGGGAGCCUCGGCUGGCAGUACCCCGCCCCUUUUCUUCUCCUCCCGUUCUGGAUGUGAGUGCCGCAUGGAAGGCAGGACAUGGAGAUUCAUCUUUUGCGUCGCUUUCCAGUGACAUAGAGGAGUUGCAGCCUGGCCCCAUCCACUCACAUGACCCCGCCCACUCCAGUGACCCCACCUGCUAUCCUGCUCCCAGACAUGCCUCCUUCCUACGGAUUAUUGAAAGGACUGAGGGUGUAAACUCAAUCAGUUUUCAGUUAGCCAAUCAGGUCACAGCACAGGAAAACGGAGACGAUUCAAAGCCAAUCCGACCUGACUGUUACAAACACUUCAAACCUUGCUACAGGACCUCCACACUGGACCAAGUGCACAUUUUUCAUGAGUUAAUAAUUUGUUCAUAAGUUUUAUACAUUCUUCAUAUUUUGGAAAAUUAACUUUCUCCCAAUCCAUUUUAGAGUGCUGUAGCCCCGCCUCCUGGACAGGAGGGUCUGACUCUCAAGGCUGUGGUUGGCUACAAUGGCAAUGGGCGGAGUAACAUGGCCUG